GGGUGGUCGUGGUCUGAUGACGCCGCCACACGCGACGGUAGUGGAGGAAGCCCGGUGAGAUUCCGGCGCGGUCCCGCCACUGUGAGCCGGUUCUCCGGUCAGUCAGGAACUCCCGCCGUCGCCUCCUGCCACCUC
rnacentral:sRNA from 17 species